rnacentral:rRNA from 1 species
UACGUAGGGUGCGAGCGUUGUCCGGAAUUAUUGGGCGUAAAGAGCUCGUAGGCGGUCUGUCGCGUCGAUCGUGAAAACUUGGGGCUCAACCCCAAGCUUGCGGUCGAUACGGGCAGGCUCGAGUUCGGUAGGGGAGACUGGAAUUCCUGGUGUAGCGGUGAAAUGCGCAGAUAUCAGGAGGAACACCGGUGGCGAAGGCGGGUCUCUGGGCCGAUACUGACGCUGAGGAGCGAAAGCGUGGGGAGCGAACAGG